rnacentral:lncRNA from 1 species
CUUCCUCAAAUCCUCUUUACCUGUUUGAAUGAAAUGUUAAAUGGAAAAGCGACGUCUAACGUUUAAAAAAUAAACUAUUUUAUGUCCAACAACUUUUUUGUUUACAUUUGCUUUGUUGCACUACUUAACUUUAACGCUUUACGUCUACUGUAAUCAGAACCGGGCACGCGCAAACAUGAAUUCAAAUACGCGUGCAACAUGGGUCCAUUAAAAAAACAAUCCAACGUGUUUGGUAAUAUAAUAAGGUGUAGAACGGGCUAUGACAACGAGCCACAACAGUCUGGUGUUACUAUCCAUCUGUGGCCAAACAAAGAGAGAAAACCUGGAUUUGAUUCCGCCUAGCUGAGAGCCAUUCUAAGAGAAACAGAUCUGAAGAAGACAGAUUAGGAACCAUCCAUAAGUACGAAGCUGUGUUCCCUGCAUUUCAACGAAUCUGAUUUCAUCUGUGAGUCUAAAAGAAUUCAGACCUCUGACAAGGCUUUAAAGAAGACAACUGCUCACUUUUGAUGCGUAUGCUUAUAACUGUCCUUCUUUUAGAGGUACCUCAAACCAGAUGUAUUACAUCCCUAUGGCCAAACUGUCCCAACGCCUUCUCAACUCCUAAAGCUUCAUCAAUGCCAACUGAAGCUGUCAUGUAGGGCUCAACAGUUCAAUAAAAUGAGUUCUGUGGAAGAACUUGUUGACAAAUUGGCCAAAGAGACACUCCCAUCAAACUUAAUCCCCAUGGAGACACUCCCAUCAAGCUUAAUCCUCAUCACAAAACCAAGUGUUGCCCUUUUGAAGCUGUCCCAUGAUGAGAAAUUGGGCCCCAAGUAGUAGCCAGUAUCAAGUUUGAGACAGAUAUGUCAUUCAAAAUGUACAACUCUGGUGUGUUGAUUGACAAAAAGGCAGUGUCACACAUUACCUCAAAAGGCAAGGUCAACACUGUGAUUCAAGCCAUCAAUUUGACUUCCUUUCUGGGAGCAAAAGAAGAAUUGAAUCAAACAGAGACCUGGGGAAGACAUUUUCAACAAGUUUGUGAAGUUACUCAACUCCUCAGAGAUUGAACCUAAGCAAGCUUCUAAGCUCUCUUUCAUUCGUGAGCAAAUGGCUCUCCUCUUCACCAAACCAACACCUUCUCUUCUUUCAACCGCACUCAUGUAGGAGAAUGUGAGCUCAGGACUAUGUGGAAUAUCCAAAAACGUCAAGACACCUGGAGUUGCCUACGAAAAGAGAGAUGAGCUUCGGGAAUGAGAAGAACAAACUUGGCCUCUCUUUCUUGAGAAAUUUUGUCAACUUUCUCAUCGAGUGGUAAAACAGUAAAGGACCUGGCUUCAGAAACCUUCGUAGUAACAAAGCAGACGUGUCUUGCUGCAGCAGAUCUGGCAGAGUAUCUUCUCCUAGAUGAAGACUUUUCCUAUGCACUCCUCUGCAUGUUCCAGUCGGAUCCCAUUGAAUGAAGGUUCGGCUGAUACAUACAACUAAGUGGAGGUAUCUCCUAUAUCAGCGUGAGACAGAUCCUGGAAGCAGAGAAAAAUAUUCGUAUUCUGAGUCUUGUCAAAUUCUCAGGUCUUACUACUUCAGAAAUUAAAGGUCUGCUGGAUGAAUACUUGUUAAAAGAUGAGCUCAUUUUGACUAACUGGCAACCAGAUGACCUCCAGGAAUUAGCUUCCAAGGCAGAGAGUAAUACUUAUACAUCCUUAUUAAACUGGAAUAUAUUUUUCUAACAGCGUAUGAAUUAUCUUAAUUCGUAAUACUGAAUACAGAUAGUUCUUGUAAGAUAUGUUCCAAUGAAUAACUUUGAUGAAGUAUAUGCGUAACUAGAAGAUAAAUUUAAGCACCUACAGUCAGACUAACUAUUCAAAAUAAUUUUUUAAAAAACACAGAACAUCUUUAUUAAUUUAUCACACUAAUUUGGUAUAUUAGUAUAAAUCUAUUGAAAUUAUCAAACUUGCUCUACGUUUAAUAAAAUUCCCAAGGAUCUAUAAAUUAAUUACUGAAAUAUCUAGUUGUACUCAACUAACGAUCUAUUUAUUUUUGUAGAAAUGAUAAUUUAAAUCGAUGUAAAUUUAAUGGGAUCUUUGUGUUAUGAUUCUACAAAUACGAUAUAAUUUAUUUUUAUUGUUUAUAAGUGUAUUCAUUAGUUUUGAAACCAUAUGUCCGAUUGGACUAAUCAAUGAAUAUUGAUUUAUAUUUUUGUAUGAUUAAAGCUCUUAAUGAUUAAUAAAUGUGCAGUUCCUCCAUUA